rnacentral:rRNA from 1 species
CNNNNCUCANGGGNGAGGGGNAGGGGGGGGCNCAGCGGANNCNNGCCNUGACCGCCGUGCAGGUAAGACUGCCCUAUGGGUUGUAAACUGCUUUUAUCCGGGAAUAAACCUAAAUACGUGUAUUUAGCUGAAUGUACCGGAAGAAUAAGGAUCGGCUAACUCCGUGCCAGCAGCCGCGGUAAUACGGAGGAUCCAAGCGUUAUCCGGAUUUAUUGGGUUUAAAGGGUGCGUAGGCGGCCUGUUAAGUCAGGGGUGAAAGACGGUAGCUCAACUAUCGCAGUGCCCUUGAUACUGAUGGGCUUGAAUGGACUAGAGGUAGGCGGAAUGAGACAAGUAGCGGUGAAAUGCAUAGAUAUGUCUCAGAACACCGAUUGCGAAGGCAGCUUACUAUGGUCUUAUUGACGCUGAGGCACGAAAGCGUGGGGAUCAAACAGGAUUAGAUACCCUGGUAGUCCACGCCCUAAACGAUGAACACUCGCUGUUGGCGAUACACAGUCAGCGGCUAAGCGAAAGCGUUAAGUGUUCCACCUGGGGAGUACCCCGNCCAAGGGUGAA